rnacentral:rRNA from 1 species
GUUUGAUCCUGGCUCAGGAUGAACGCUAGCGGCAGGCCUAACACAUGCAAGUCGAGGGGCAGCAUAUAUCUUCGGAUAUAUGGCGACCGGCGCACGGGUGAGUAACGUGUAUGCAACCUACCUUUAACAGGGGAAUAGCCCGAAGAAAUUCGGAUUAAUGCCCCAUAAUAUCAUAUAUCGGCAUCGAUAUGUGAUGAAAGCUCCGGCGGUUAAAGAUGGGCAUGCAUGACAUUAGUUAGUUGGUAAGGUAACGGCUUACCAAGACGAUGAUGUCUAGGGGGUCUGAGAGGAUGAUCCCCCACACUGGUACUGAGACACGGACCAGACUCCUACGGGAGGCAGCAGUGAGGAAUAUUGGUCAAUGGACGCAAGUCUGAACCAGCCAUGCCGCGUGCAGGAUGACAGCUCUAUGAGUUGUAAA